rnacentral:rRNA from 1 species
GAUGAACGCUGGCGGCGUGCCUAAUACAUGCAAGUAGAACGCUGAAGCUUGGUGCUUGCACCGAGCGGAUGAGUUGCGAACGGGUGAGUAACGCGUAGGUAACCUGCCUGGUAGCGGGGGAUAACUAUUGGAAACGAUAGCUAAUACCGCAUAACAGUAGAUAUUGCAUGAUAUCUGCUUGAAAGGUGCAAAUGCAUCACUACCAGAUGGACCUGCGUUGUAUUAGCUAGUUGGUGAGGUAACGGCUCACCAAGGCGACGAUACAUAGCCGACCUGAGAGGGUGAUCGGCCACACUGGGACUGAGACACGGCCCAGACUCCUACGGGAGGCAGCAGUAGGGAAUCUUCGGCAAUGGGGGGAACCCUGACCGAGCAACGCCGCGGGAGUGAAGAAGGUUUUCGGAUCGUAAAGCUCUGUUGUAAGAGAAGAACGAGUGUGAGAGUGGAAAGUUCACACUGUGACGGUAUCUUACCAGAAAGGGACGGCUAACUACGUG